UUUGAUGUUUAUUUCUGUAUUUAUUUUAUUUUAUAAGUUUUAAGAAUCCCAAUUUUCAUAAUUCUAUGACGUCAUAGGAAUACAAGUGUGAGGUUUCUGAAAGUGAUGACACAAAAGAUUAUUGAGAAGGGACCUGUCAAGUACAAAUGUGUGAAAGCUUUGAGCAGCUUAGACCCAGAAAUUAUUAAAAUGCAAUCAAAUGUUGAAAAAUUGUAUUUCAAUGCUUUACUGGAGGUUCUACAUGAUACAAACAGGAUUGAUGAGAAAUGUGCUGUCAAAGCAAAACAACAGCAUGAUAUACUCAGCAAUAAAGUGUCCAUAAAACCCUAUUCUACAAAGUUUGAGGACUUCUUAUCUGAAAGGAGUGAUGAUGAUGGUCUGGACACAUUUUAUUGUGAAAUUAUGAAGA